rnacentral:rRNA from 1 species
UGCAGUAGAACGCUGAAGAGAGGAGCUUGCUCUUCUUGGAUGAGUUGCGAACGGGUGAGUAACGCGUAGGUAACCUGCCUUGUAGCGGGGGAUAACUAUUGGAAACGAUAGCUAAUACCGCAUAACAAUGGAUGACACAUGUCAUUUAUUUGAAAGGGGCAAUUGCUCCACUACAAGAUGGACCUGCGUUGUAUUAGCUAGUAGGUGAGGUAACGGCUCACCUAGGCGACGAUACAUAGCCGACCUGAGAGGGUGAUCGGCCACACUGGGACUGAGACACGGCCCAGACUCCUACGGGAGGCAGCAGUAGGGAAUCUUCGGCAAUGGGGGCAACCCUGACCGAGCAACGCCGCGUGAGUGAAGAAGGUUUUCGGAUCGUAAAGCUCUGUUGUAAGUCAAGAACGAGUGUGAGAGUGGAAAGUUCACACUGUGACGGUAGCUUACCAGAAAGGGACGGCUAACUACGUGCCAGCAGCCGCGGUAAUACGUAGGUCCCGAGCGUUGUCCGGAUUUAUUGGGCGUAAAGCGAGCGCAGGCGGUUUGAUAAGUCUGAAGUUAAAGGCUGUGGCUCAACCAUAGUUCGCUUUGGAAACUGUCAAACUUGAGUGCAGAAGGGGAGAGUGGAAUUCCAUGUGUAGCGGUGAAAUGCGUAGAUAUAUGGAGGAACACCGGUGGCGAAAGCGGCUCUCUGGUCUGUAACUGACGCUGAGGCUCGAAAGCGUGGGGAGCGAACAGGAUUAGAUACCCUGGUAGUCCACGCCGUAAACGAUGAGUGCUAGGUGUUGGAUCCUUUCCGGGAUUCAGUGCCGCAGCUAACGCAUUAAGCACUCCGCCUGGGGAGUACGACCGCAAGGUUGAAACUCAAAGGAAUUGACGGGGGCCCGCACAAGCGGUGGAGCAUGUGGUUUAAUUCGAAGCAACGCGAAGAACCUUACCAGGUCUUGACAUCCCGAUGCUAUUUCUAGAGAUAGAAAGUUACUUCGGUACAUCGGUGACAGGUGGUGCAUGGUUGUCGUCAGCUCGUGUCGUGAGAUGUUGGGUUAAGUCCCGCAACGAGCGCAACCCCUAUUGUUAGUUGCCAUCAUUCAGUUGGGCACUCUAGCGAGACUGCCGGUAAUAAACCGGAGGAAGGUGGGGAUGACGUCAAAUCAUCAUGCCCCUUAUGACCUGGGCUACACACGUGCUACAAUGGUUGGUACAACGAGUUGCGAGUCGGUGACGGCAAGCUAAUCUCUUAAAGCCAAUCUCAGUUCGGAUUGUAGGCUGCAACUCGCCUACAUGAAGUCGGAAUCGCUAGUAAUCGCGGAUCAGCACGCCGCGGUGAAUACGUUCCCGGGCCUUGUACACACCGCCCGUCACACCACGAGAGUUUGUAACACCCGAAGUCGGUGAGGUAACCUUUGGAGCCAGCCGCCUAAGGUGGA